rnacentral:rRNA from 1 species
GAUGAACGUUAGCUACAGGCUUAACACAUGCAAGUCGAGGGACCGGCGCUCGGGUGAGUAACACGUAUCCACCCUGCCCUUUUCUCGGGGAUAGCCUUUCGAACGAAAGAUUAAUACCCGAUAUAAAGGAUGGGGAUGCGUUCAAUUAGGUUGUUGGUGAGGUAACGGCCCACCAAGCCUUCGAUGGAUAGGGGUUCUGAGAGGAAGGUCCCCGACAUUGGAACUGGGACGCGGUCCAAAGGCCUACGGGAGGCAGCAGUGAGGAAUAUUGAUCAAUGGGCGUUAGCCUGAACCAGCCAAGUAGCGUGAAGGAUGAAGGCUUAGGGGUCGUAAACUUCUUUUAUAUAGGAAAGUGUAAUAUAUGAAUAAAGAUCAACUAACUCCGUGCCAGCAGCCGCGGUAAUAC